CAGCAUGUUUGGUUGGGUGUAUUGGCUAUAAUCGGUGGGCCCCACUUAUUACGCCUCUAAUCCGUUGUUUGGUUCAAUGUAUUAUUAUUACGGAGCUAAACCAUUACUGACCUAAUCGGUGAAAUCAUCGAUUUCUAAUCCGUCCCUUUUGCUCAGUUUAGGUACUGCUUCACUUUACCCUCCCUGUUUUACCCUCUGCCUCUUCUGUUCCCCUUUGCCUCUUCUGUUUCGCCCGAUUUGCUCCCUCCGUUUCUUUUCUUUUCUUUUUUGCCGAUUUGCUCCCUUUGUUUCUCACAGUUUCUGCCGAUUUGCUCCCUCUGUUUCUUAUAGUUCUCCACACGCCCACAUCUCUACAAAAAUAACAACCUUCAAAGUCGGCAGGAUUUUAAGGCAUUUUUAUUUGAGCCCUGUUCUUCUCCUUUUUCCCAGACGUGGGGUUUCCAUUUCCCAGUUCUUCUCGUCCCUUUCUUAAAGUCGGCAUCUUCCUUUGCUUUCUCCAGUUUUCUCUUACCCAGCACCUUCUUCAAGGGUUUUGAGAGAGGCUGGGGUCGGAUGUUUAAAAUCUAUAUCUGAUAUGUACAACGAAUUAUUUUAUUUUGCUGUUCUUUUGGGCUUGAUAAUGGCUUUAAAGGUCACCAGCUUUUAGCAGUUCUGCUCAUUUACCUUCCGGCAAUUGACAUGACUUGAGUGGCAAAUGAACUACAGUUCCAUCAAACAUCGCUACUGCAAUUCUUGCUGCUCCCAAUUUGUCGAAUCCCAUGGCUACAGUUGUUGGUGCUGCUUCAAACCCAUUGUCCAAUCCCAUAGUUUCAAUGGUAGACGGUGUAUCCUCCAAGGCAUUUGAUGAAGUACUGAAAGCAACACCACCUGCUUUGUCAGCAUUUUUGGCUGGCUUGCCUUCUAUCGAGGGUUCAUGCCAUGGGGGCAAAGCUAGAAUCAAAAAAUGAAAAAAGAACCUCAUUGAGGAAGAAAAUUCAGAGAAUAAGGUAAGAAAACCAAAAAAUAUUGCAACUGAGAGAAUAUACAGAGCUAUGUUUCUCCGACUCUUCAUUUUGCUUGAAGUAUCCCUUUUUUAUACCCCUGUCAGAGUCUUCAUUUUUCUUAAAGUAUCUGGUUUCAACACCCAUGCCCGACGAUGAAAGAACCUCUUUGAGAAAGUUAUACAAUAGAUUUUUUUGGAAAAUAUUUGAAGUGAAAAUUUUCAUCAUAGUUUCUGUCAAGAAUACAUUAAAUGGUAUAUGUACAUGUCCACACACAAAACCAUGUUACUUGGGUUCGGGGAAAGUGUCGAAUAAGGAUAUGGGUAUGGGAUGUGAUCCUUGUUUGAUACCCAUGUGGAUGCAUGUUUGGCCAUCGGUAUGGGAUAUGAUCCUUAAAGGAUUCUUCAAAUAUACAGAAAAACUUAGAGAAAACCGAAUAUUUCCAUAUCUGACACAUAUUCGUAUCUUGAUAUCCUUAUUUUUCAGGGUUUGUUCUUAUUUGAAUAGCCUUUGUUGUAGCUAUUUGCAAAAUCCUGGUGAUGAACACCUAAGCCUUCAGGUGACAGAGAUAGAUCCCUGGCCCUAAAGAACUCCCUUACCUAUGCAAAGGAUAAGUCACCGCAGCUAGAUGAUGGUGAUUCAGGAUUUCCUCCCCGUGACGAUGAUGGUGGUGGAGGUGACGAGGGAGGUGGUGGGGGCAACUGGUCAGGUGAAUUCUUCCUUUUCGGAUUCCUCGCGUUUCUAGGCUUCCUAAAGGAUAAAGAAAGCGAAGAAGAUUACCGGGACAGCCGAAGAAGAUGAUGAGAGAUUCUCUACAUAUUGAUAACAUUUUUAAAACCUAUAUUGCAUGUUGUUCUUCAUGUUAUAUACUUUUGAGAACCCAUUGCAUAUCGUUCUUCAUGAUAUAUUUCUAUUUUUGGAACCAA